GCAAGCGAAAUGUAUCACAAGUCUCCAGGAAAAGCGGCAUGAUCAAUGCUAUCUAACAGUAAGCUAUUAUAACAAUAUACUUCCGUCGUUCAACUGUUUAAAUUAUUACUUUAUCCCUGUUUAAAUUAUGGUUUUGUUUUUCUUUUUUGCUGAGCCAUCCUGUAGAAAUAUUGUCAGAAUAAUGACCAUAUCUAAAGUCUUUUUUUUUGUUUGUUUGCAGGGCAAAUAUUGAACCUGUUUGCUAUUCUUUGAGAAAAUAUUUCUCAGAGAAAUGUUAUCAAAAGGUGGCUGACGCUGAUCAAAUAGGUCAACAUCCCUGCUCUUGAGAAGAUCUGCAUGAAAGAAUGGACCAAAAUAUCAGCAACAGUGUGUGAAAACCUGAGAUUAUUUGACCUCUGUUAGUGACAAACCACGGUUAUAUUACAAAAUAUUAUGGUUAACUUUUGUUAUUGAACAUAUAAUUAUUUCUUGUACCAUGCAAAUAUUUUAUUUAAAAAAAGUAUACAGUCCCAGUUGUGGAUUUUAUGUUUACAUCCUGUCUCUUUUGGGUGGAGAAACAUAAUCAAUGACUGACAAAUACAUUUAUGCCCGUCUGUGUUUAAUUCAAAGAGAUUGUCUUUUUUUCUCUUUUUUGCAUUGCUCUUUCACAAUUCGUGGGAAAGUUGGCAAUAUUGUUUGGGAAACAAAAUCUGCCCUACAAACUUUUUUAUUUGGAUCAAGCUUGUAUUAAACAAUGUUAUUCUUUAACUUGUGUUGCAUACAGACUUACUGAUCUUUAAUUACACGUUAUCCAAACUGUGCAGCCUCUUGAGGCAUUGAACACGUGCAUCUCUGCAAGAGCAUGCUUUUUGUUCAAAUAUUUAGUGUAACACAACACGUUACAGAAAGCUAAGAACAUUUAGAAUGACAUUCCAAACAAACUGAACAAACAUUUAAAACAUGAAAUAAACUUUAUUUUACUAAAAUUAUAACUAUCCUGGGAAUUCUUCCUAAAUCUGUGUUGCCACUGUGGUGUAAACCACAAUAAAGUUUUCAAGCUAAAUAUUAUAGUUAUAGUUUUCCUCAGCUUACGGAAAACUUCCUACAACACAAGCCUGUUGCUGUAAUGACAGUUUCUCAGUUUUCCCACAAGUGCUGUGAAUUUUUUAGCCAUCACAGCUGCAACAAGUAACAGAUUUUAAAAAUGCAGUGUGUGAGUGCACACAAUGGAGUUUCAAUAAAAAAAAAAAA